CGUGUAGGCGGCUAGGUAAGUCUGAUGUGAAAGCCCGGGGCUUAACCCCGGAAGUGCAUUGGAUACUGCUUAGCUAGAGGGCGAGAGAGGGAAGCGGAAUUCCUGGUGUAGGGGUGAAAUCCGUAGAUAUCAGGAGGAACAUCAGUGGCGAAGGCGGCUUCCUGGCUCGUUUCUGACGCUGAGACGCGAAAGCGUGGGGAGCAAACA
rnacentral:rRNA from 1 species